rnacentral:rRNA from 1 species
UACGGAGGGUGCAAGCGUUAAUCGGAAUUACUGGGCGUAAAGCGUGCGCAGGCGGCUAUGCAAGACAGAUGUGAAAUCCCCGGGCUCAACCUGGGAACUGCAUUUGUGACUGCAUGGCUAGAGUACGGCAGAGGGGGAUGGAAUUCCGCGUGUAGCAGUGAAAUGCGUAGAUAUGCGGAGGAACACCGAUGGCGAAGGCAAUCCCCUGGGCCUGUACUGACGCUCAUGCACGAAAGCGUGGGGAGCAAACAGG